AGAGUUUGAUCCUGGCUCAGGAUGAACGCUAGCGGCAGGCCUAAUACAUGCAAGUCGAACGGCAGCGGGUCCUUCGGGAUGCCGGCGAGUGGCGGACGGGUGCGUAACGCGUAUGCAACCUACCCAUCACAGGGGGAUAGCCCGGGGAAACUCGGAUUAAUACCCCAUAAAGCAGGGGUUUCGCAUGGGACUAUUUGCUAAAGAUUUAUCGGUGAUGGAUGGGCAUGCGUCUGAUUAGUUAGUUGGUGAGGUAACGGCUCACCAAGGCGACGAUCAGUAGGGGGUCUGAGAGGAUGAUCCCCCACACUGGCACUGAGAUACGGGCCAGACUCCUACGGGAGGCAGCAGUAGGGAAUAUUGGUCAAUGGGCGAGAGCCUGAACCAGCCAUGCCGCGUGCAGGAAGACGGCCUUCUGGGUUGUAAACUGCUUUUCUACGGGGAUAAAAAGGUUCUGCGGGACAAAUUGCAUGUACCGUAGGAAUAAGCACCGGCUAACUCCGUGCCAGCAGCCGCGGUAAUACGGAGGGUGCAAGCGUUGUCCGGAUUUAUUGGGUUUAAAGGGUGCGUAGGCGGAUAAUUAAGUCAGGGGUGAAAGGCAUUGGCUCAACCAAUGAAUUGCCUUUGAUACUGGUUAUCUUGAGUUCAGUUGAGGUGGGCGGAA
rnacentral:rRNA from 1 species